rnacentral:rRNA from 1 species
AUUGAACGCUGGCGGCAUGCCUUACACAUGCAAGUCGAACGGUAACAGGUCUUCGGAUGCUGACGAGUGGCGAACGGGUGAGUAAUGCAUCGGAACGUGCCCAGUUGUGGGGGAUAACUGCUCGAAAGAGCAGCUAAUACCGCAUACGACCUGAGGGUGAAAGCGGGGGAUCGCAAGACCUCGCGCAAUUGGAGCGGCCGAUGUCAGAUUAGGUAGUUGGUGGGGUAAAGGCCUACCAAGCCGACGAUCUGUAGUUGGUCUGAGAGGACGACCAGCCACACUGGGACUGAGACACGGCCCAGACUCCUACGGGAGGCAGCAGUGGGGAAUUUUGGACAAUGGGCGCAAGCCUGACCCAGCAAUGCCGCGUGCAGGAAGAAGGCCUUCGGGUUGUAAACUGCUUUUGUCAGGGAAGAAAUCUUCUGGGUUAAUACCCCGGGAGGAUGACGGUACCUGAAGGAUAAGCACCGGCUAACUACGUGCCAGCAGCCGCCGCCGUAA